rnacentral:rRNA from 1 species
UACGUAGGGGGCUAGCGUUGUCCGGAUUUAUUGGGCGUAAAGAGCGUGUAGGCGGCCAGAUAGGCCUGCUGUGAAAACUCGAGGCUCAACCUCGAGAUGUCGGCGGAAACCAUUUGGCUAGAGUCCGGAAGUGGAAAGUGGAAUUCCUGGUGUAGCGGUGAAAUGCGCAGAUAUCAGGAAGAACACCCGUGGCGAAGGCGGCUUUCUGGGACGGUACUGACGCUGAGACGCGAAAGCGUGGGGAGCGAACAGG